GCCAUUGGCAUCGGAGGCGCGAUUUGUCCAGCAGUCUAAGGAGGCGGAACUGGACGGAACUCCUGGACCAAGAGACUAGGAACAAAGUUUUCGCGGCAUUAAUGGAGACGCCCCAGCCACAGAGGCCAGGGAAGAUCAGAGACACUGGACUCACACCUCGGAGGGUCGGAACUCUUCUGCUGUGAGUCCCACCUAAGGAGCAGGAGAGGAAGGGAACACCUGAAGGAGAUGGUGGGGCUCCCGGAGCUAAUCUCUUCCGGACUCGCGUUGCCUCAGGUCAUGGCAUUCAAGGGCGGGGUAACGGGGUGAGGCCGCUAGCCCGGCGCCCCAAGACUGCCCGCCUGACCCUGCUGUGACCCCACGCUUUCUCUGAGCCGAAUUCUUGCAAAUCUGUAGGCGUCUCUACGUCUCUAGGCCAGUGGUUCCUACAGCCAAGCGUGAAUAAGAGUAAGAGAGAAUAACGGCAGAGACUUAGACGCAGUUGGCAAGCAGUCCUGCAGGCUUCUGCUACUAUUGCUCAGGCGGUAUCCUGAGCCCCUUCCUCUUUGGUGUUUUGGCAACCCACUGUGGCCAUUGGCAUGCUGCUUCGCAGUACAAGCCAGAAAGCCAAGCAGACUCCCAAAGCCUGCAGAGGGCACACUACACUGAGCUACUUAGAGUGAGGGCUGGUGCUCCAGGCUUGUGGUUGUUAGCCAGUAAGCGCUCCUUGGGAACCUGCUGAGCCAGGUGCCUGCUCUGAACCUAGGGGCUGGUUGACCUAACCUUUGGGCGAGAGGAAGCAAGCAUGGACAGAGGCAGUUGUCACUAGGGAACCCACAUUCCUCAAAGUCAGCGUCUUGGUUCCGGGCAUCUUUCAUUAAACUGGUUGAGUCCACAAAA